CCCCCCCCCCCCCCCCCCCCCCUUUUCUUUUCGACAAUUCAGUGCGAUAUUUGUUUGGCUUGCAAGUCUUUGCUGCUUUGUCCGUUGAUCUCUAAAAUUUUGUAUUUUGAUUGAAUUUGGUCGACCGAUGAUAUUUUUCUCGGAAACGGCUUCGAGACGUGGAAAUGGGGCAUGAAGGAGAUUGGUCAUUGCAGCAAAAGCUCCAUCAGGAAAAGCUUGAACAGCUUUUUUUUCAACUGGUUCAAUUGUUAAUGCAAAAUUGUUUUUGACCAAAAGAAGAGUAAUCGAAGGUAAUGGCUUCUGCUAUCGGCUAGUAGGGGUUACAUUUGCAAGCCUCUCAUUCCAGCAUAUGGCUAAAGGUAAGGAUCGAAAAAGAUGUUGCUGCACUUAAUCACAUGAGCUUCUCUACUGCUCUUCCUAACAACAACAUAUUGGAAUUGUGGAAGCGACCUUCUGGUUCUAAGCUUACGCAUUCACUUUUCCAGUUUGAUCUUGCAUUUGUUACAUGAAUAAUCUUUUCCUCUUUAUAAAGUUAAUAUGACAGGAAAGUAGACAGUGCUAAAUAAGAUAGAAUACGAACAGAAUCCUUACAUGUUGCACUUCUCUGAGGCGCAAAUGAAAUGAUGCAAUUAUGUGAAUAUCUUGUCCUCUUUCGAUCUAUAAAGUUUCAGAAAGUACACAGCUUUUAGCAAUACUCACUAGAACAGCCAAAGGUGAUCCUUAUAGCUUGCCCUUGAUUUUUUUUGUUUUUUUUUUGUGCAUUUGCUAAAAAACCUUAUUACAAGGACACAGUUUUAUUUGCAUUAACUUCAUCUGGUCUUAGUCAUCCAGCAAAUGCAUUUCUACUUUCUGAGAGCAGCUGCAAGUUGUGGUAAGUAGUUGCCUGACAAAUCUCUUAAAAUUUCAGCUACUGCUUGCUUUAGAUGUACUGACGUUGAUGAGUUCUGGUAAUCUUCAGGAAAAUUGAGAUAAAAAGGAUUCAUCAUGUGGAUGAAAAUGAAGGACAAGAAAACUAUGUUCUUCGACUUGUCUGCAUCUACCGUUGGUGACUCAAACUUGGUGAAGUGAUCAGAGUAAAUAUUUAGUAAGAAAGCAUUUUAACUCCGUCCAAAUGCGCUUGAUGUUUAUUAUUAACAUUAUGUUAUUGGUUUUCUUUCCUAAAUAAUUUGGGGUUAAUAUA